rnacentral:lncRNA from 1 species
UUGAGAAGAAUCUCAGGAACCCAUUGACUUGUUUCCUGAAAUUUUGAGGGAAAACUAGAUUUUCAUAUCAACAUUUCAGCUGGAAAAAGAACUUCCUAUUAAAGUCAUUGCAUACUUGGCCAUUUUGUCCCCCUUAGGUGUAUGAAAUCCAUUAAUAAGAACAGCAGUUGCAGUUCCACUGGGAUAAGGUAAUUUAUAGUCAAGUAUCAUAAUCUACAGAAAAUAAAAAUGCUCAUGAGUCAGUCAAGGCAGCAAAUAACACAAACAUCAAAUCUUGAGUCAUUGCAUACUUGGCCAUUUUGUCCCCCUUAGGUGUAUGAAAUCCAUUAAUAAGAACAGCAGUUGCAGUUCCACUGGGAUAAGGUAAUUUAUAGUCAAGUAUCAUAAUCUACAGAAAAUAAAAAUGCUCAAGAAUCAGUCAAGGCAGCAACUAGCACAAACAUUAAAUCUUAUCACAAACAUACCUUUCUAAGAGGAACUAAGGCUAACAGACCAACAAAG